UACGUAGGGGGCGAGCGUUAUCCGGAUUUACUGGGUGUAAAGGGAGCGUAGACGGUGAUGCAAGUCAGAAGUGAAAGCCCGGGGCUCAACUCCGGGACUGCUUUUGAAACUGUGUGACUGGAGUGCAGGAGGGGUGAAUGGAAUUCCCAGUGUAGCGGUGGAAUGCGUAGAUAUUGGGAAGAACACCAGCGGCGAAGGCGAUUCACUGGACUGUAACUGACACUGAGGCACGAAAGCGUGGGGAGCAAACAGG
rnacentral:rRNA from 1 species